ACCUGGGUGGCUCAGUCGGUUGAGCAUCUGACUUCAGCUCAGGUCACGACCUCACGCUUGGUGGGUUCGAGCCCCACGUCGGGCU
rfam:Felis catus isolate Cinnamon breed Abyssinian chromosome B2, whole genome shotgun sequence.